rnacentral:rRNA from 1 species
CACGUAGGGCGCAGGCGUUGUCCGGAAUUAUUGGGCGUAAAGAGCUCGUAGGCGGUCUGUUGCGUCCGCUGUGAAAACCCGGGGCUCAACUCCGGGCCUGCAUUCGAUACGGGCAGACUAGAGUUCGGUAGGGGAGUCUGGAAUUCCUGGUGUAGCGGUGAAAUGCGCAGAUAUCAGGAGGAACACCGGUGGCGAAGGCGGGACUCUGGGCCGAUACUGACGCUGAGGAGCGAAAGCGUGGGGAGCAAACAGG